rnacentral:tRNA from 4 species
GGUUCCGUGGUGCAGUUGGUUAGCGCAUCGUACUAAUAAUGCGAAAGUCGAGGGUUCGAGCCCCUCCGGGACCA